GUAGGGAAUAUUGCGCAAUGGAGGCAACUCUGACGCAGCCAUGCCGCGUGCAGGAAGAAGGCGCUACGCGUUGUAAACUGCUUUUAACCGGGAAGAAACCCCAGGACGUGUCCUGGGUUGACGGUACCGGAGGAAUAAGCACCGGCUAACUUCGUGCCAGCAGCCGCGGUAAUACGAAGGGUGCAAGCGUUAUCCGGAUUCAUUGGGUUUAAAGGGUGCGUAGGCGGAGCGUUAAGUCAGUGGUGAAAUCCUGCAGCUUAACUGUAGACUUGCCAUUGAUACUGGCGCUCUUGAGUGCGCUUGAAGUGGGCGGAAUGUGCCGUGUAGCGGUGAAAUGCUUAGAUAUGGCACAGAACACCAAUUGCGAAGGCAGCUCACUAAGGCGAUACUGACGCUGAGGCACGAAAGCGUGGGGAUCGAACAGGAUUAGAAACCCUAGUAGUCC
rnacentral:rRNA from 1 species